GAAUCCGAAAGUCCAUAUUUGCAUCUUAAAGAAUUUGAGGAAGUAUGUACAACAUUUAACGAUCAAACUUGUCCCAACGAAAUUGUUGAGUUGAAAUUGUUUCCUUUUUCUCUAAAAGAUAAAGCAAAAAACUUGGCUUAACUCUUUAAAACCUAGGUCGAUUGGCACAUGGCAAGAAAUGCAAAGUGAGUUUUUGAAGAAUUUCUUUCCAGCACAUAAAAACUAAUGCUUUGAAAAGACAAAUUCAAAAUUUUUCUCAGAAAACCAAUGAAGCGUACUUUCAAUGUUUAGAAAGAUUUAAAGAUUUGUUAAAUACAUGCCCACAUCAUGGUUUUGAAAAAUGGCGUACUAUAAGUUUCUUUUAUAAGGGCCUAACUCCUGAAACAAAACAAUUUGUAGAAACGAUGUGCAAUAGUGAAUUUUUAGAUAAAGAUCCAGAUGAAGCCUUAGAAUUUCUAGAUCAUCUAGCUGAAAAUUCUCAAUCUUGGCAAAUAGUAAAACCAAUCGAAAACUCAAUUAGAUAUAGUCUUGCAAGUUCUAGUGGAGGAAAAUAUCAAUUGAGUCAAGAUGAUGAUCUAAAUGCCAGGAUUGCUAGUUUGUCUAGAAAGGUUGAAGAUAUGGAAUUAAGGAAAGUAAAGGAAGUUAAACCUGUGCAAAAUGAUGAAAUUUGUAGCAUUUGUGAAACUUUUGGUCAUCUUACUCAUAAUUGUCCUAAUAUUCCAGUCUUCAAAGAAGUUUUACAUGAUCAAGCCAAUGCUAUGAACACUUUCAAAAAGCCUUUUUCUUCUCCAUACUCAGAAACAUAUAAUCAACAAUGGAGAAAUCAUCCCAACUUUAGUUGAAGAGAUGAUAAUCAUGUUCAUUUAUUACAACCUCAAGGGCUUUCAAAAUUUCCUGCUUUUCCACCACCACAAUCAAAGACUCUUGAGGAAACAUUGCAGUCUUUUAUGCAAGGACAAGUAAAUAUUAAUAAUCAAACUUCACAAGCCAUCAAUGAAAUCAAGAACACACUUUCUUCAUUGACCUCUUCCUUGCGUUCUCAAGAGAGAGGCAAGUUUCCUGCUCAACCUCAACCAAAUCCUUCUGGGCAAUUUAAUGUAAAUGCUUCAAGUCAACAAGAAAAUGCCAACUCCAUCACGACUCUUAGUAGUGGAAAAAUUAUUGACAAAACCAUCCCUUCAAAAGAUCUAAAAUCGGGUGGGACUUCAAAGAAAGAAAAUGACUUUCCCAAAAGUGAGGAAAAGAUCAUUUCUGAACCCAUUGUUGAAAAAUGUCCCAUUCUAGCGCCAUUUCCUCAAUGAUUGCAACCAAUUUCAAAACUCAACCAUAAUUCUAAAAUUUUUGAACUUUUCAAACAAGUCAAAAUUAACAUACCAUUAUUGGAUGCAAUCAAACAAGUUCCUUCAUAUGCAAAAUUUUUAAAAGACUUGUGCACUGUCAAGAGGAAGCUUAAUGUUCAACAGAAAGCAUUUUCGACAGAGAAUGUGAGCUCAAUCAUUCAACAAAACACUCUACCUAAAUUCAAAGAUCCUGGUUGUCCAACAAUUUCUUGUGUGAUUGGGAAUAAUAGGAGACCGUGCAUUGCUUGAUCUUGAUGCUAGUGUUAAUCUAUUACCUUUUUCUGUGUAUGAGCAACUUGGUUUGGGAGAGCUUAAACCAACAGCAACAACACUUCAACUUGCUGAUCGUUCAGUAAAAGUUCCAAGAGGGGUUGUAGAGGAUGUUCUAGUUCAAAUUGAUAAAUUCUAUUAUCCUGUUGAUUUUAUAGUUUUGGACACACAUCCUGUUUUAAAUUCAAAUGCACAAAUACCUGUCAUUUUAGAACGUUCCUUUCUUGCUACUUCAAAUGCAUUGAUAAAUUGUAGAAAUGGUAUUUUGAAACUCUCUUUUGGAAAUAUGACAGUGGAAAUGAAUGUUUUUAACAUUUGCAAGCAACAUGGAGAUGAAGAUGAUUUGCAUGAAGUAGAUCUUAUUGAAAAAGUUGUUGAUGAUCAAUUUAUCGCUACAUGUUCACAUGAUGCGCUUGAAUUUGAAUUCAACGAUAAUUCUAAAAAUUCGCACAUGAUUUCAAGUGUUCAAGAGCUAAAGCUCGAUUUGAAACCAUUUUUUGAGAAUUUCUCUAGAUUGGAAGAGUCCGUUGCUGUACAUGAUUCUAAAGAUUGAUAUCCUUUUCUCAUUAUUUUAUUUUGUAUGUUUCUUUUCAGUUUUAUAAUGUUGUGUGUUUGUUUUAGGUGUGUUUCUUUUAUUGUUGUUUUUUCUUUCACUAAUGAAAUUGAAGGAACAUUUAGGCCAAGUUUAUGCAGACUUUCCAGGUAAAGCUCAAAACUCGUCCCUUUGUUCAAAAUUUUCCUCCUUCUUGUCCUUCAUAUAUUUUGCACAUUUAAUCUUUACAUUGAGGACAAUUUUUCAUUUAGGUUGGGGGAAAGGAAUCAAAAUGUUUAAAAAAAAAAAAGUUCUUACCGAUCGAUGAUAAUAUUUAGAAUUGUUGUUAUAUUAUUGUGACUAGGGGAUGCUGCUUUGAUUUUGUUUAAGCUUGAUCAUGUUAGAUUGAUCUACAUUGAGCACAAUAAUCAUGAAAAUCACAUAUUAUUUAGAUUGGAUCAAUGGAUAGAAUAUGUAGAAUUAACUAUGACCCAAAAAAAAAAUCCAACUAUUAGAAUUAACUAUGACCCAAAAAAAAAAAAAAAAAAAACUUCCAACUAAACCAAUUCUAGGAUAGUUUGGGGUGGUUGAGCUAUUGUGGGGAGACAUUGAGAUAGAUGUGGAUUCCAUUUGUGUUAAAUUUUGUGUGGAUUGCUUAAGACCAAUGAGAUGAUAAUUAAGUGAAAAUCUUAAGUUAAAGAUCGAUUUUCGAGAAUAAGUAUUUAAUGAGGGGCAUUGCACUAAUCAUUGCAUAGAAGGGAAAAAGCUGUCAUGUUGUGCAGCUACCCUAAAAGAGCCCAAUGAGGACAAUUUUACAUUAAAAAAGAUAGGCUACUGCAUGAAACAGACUACGCACGGCAAACUUGAAAAAAAUAGGUGCAUGAAAUAGAAGACGCAUUACAUGCUUUGAUUAAGUCCCAAACACUUAUUUUAGAGAAUUAGACCUUUGAUAAGGGAUUAGUAGUUUAGUUGAUUCUUGGAGGUUGAGUCAGUUAAAAUUAAGGAGAAUCCUCAUUUAUUGAUGUGUUGAGCUACGAUUAGUAAAAUCUAACCAAACUAGAGAGGGUGAGUAGUAGCAUAUAAAUUUAACCAUAAAUCACACCUUGAGAAAAUAGUUACAAAAUCAAGUUUGGGGGUGUGCAUCCAACGAGAGAAGAGAGAAAUAGUUGAACAUUGAGGGUCGGGAUGAGUCCAAUUUGAAAAAAGUAUAUGAUUGAAUUGAUUAUGCACCCACACACGUUGGUCAAGUAUUGGACAAGUUAGACUAUAUUUUGGUAGCAAACCUUAGAAGAGCUUUGAUAAACAAUUUCAAAUCCUAAGGCAAAUGCGACAAGCUAUAUCAUUUGAAAUAUUUUUGAAUUUUCAUUGCUAGAGAAUAGCAAUAUCUUGGUUGGGGAGUGUGAUUAUUGUCUAAAAGUGCUUCAAAGAGAUAUCAUUUACAAGGCAUUUUACAUUCACUUUAUUUAAAAACACUAAUGUUAGUCUCUAAUUUUAAUUCUCUUGCAGUAAAUUCAAUUUCCAUAAAUACAUGGUUAAAGAUGCAAUUAAUUGAAAUACGUAUUUACAUACAUGUCGGCAUGAGUAUUAUACAUUUCAAAUAGUAUCUAUUUGAUGUAUUUCACAUGUAUUUCCAAUUUAGAACAAGUAGAGCAAGUGGAGGAAAAUAAUGUUGAAAAGUAAAAAAUAGUGACUAUCUCAAGCAAGAAGCAGCUGUCGGUAAAAUGACUAUAACUUGAGCUCUAGACAUUGGAUCGAGGUGAUUCAAGUUGAUUUUUAAGGAUAAGGAAUUUUUCUACAACGUUCAUGUUUUAAAAGAAGUCAAAUUCGUAUCACAAGGUAGCUAAAAUUACCAUGGAAAGUCCAGCUUGUUACCUGCCGGAUACAGCUUUACCUGUGAAGCAGCACUCAUUGUUUUUGUCAUAUCUGGAGUUAUAUAGAUCCAAUGAACCUGAUAUUUCAACCCAUGAAAAGAUAACGCAAGUGGAAAUAAUUUAUCUGUUGAUCAUAAGUCCAAAUUCACUGCACAAUAUAUCUAAAAAUUGGCAUCAAGUUGCAUAUUCCAGCUGUCUUGAAGCUGGAUAGAAACAAGUUGCAUUGCCUACUUGAAUUUUGGAUGUUCCUUUGCCUAUAAAAGGGGACCUUGGCCACGAUUUUGAGAGCAUCAAUUCCUCUCCCAUCAUAUUCUAGUUUCCUUCUUUUUCUUUGUAACAUUUCAUUAUGUAUUUCUAAACCAUUAGCUAGAGCUAGGGGUGAAACUUUGGUGAAUGUAUAGUAUUAUCUUUGAUCUUUCAUUUUGUUCUUCAAUGUUCAUCUUCUUACUUGGUUGAAGUAUAUGUUCUACAAAUGGUUUUGGUCUGUUAAAGACUUUGAUUUAUUGUUGACAAUUUUGGCACAAUAAAUGCUUAGAUAAUCUCUACAUUCCAACAACUUAUUUUGACAUAUUCUCUCAAACAUUAAUCAAGAUCUAUCUUUUAAUAUAUUUGUGAUCAAUGUUUUUUCUUCCAUAUGAGAUCACUCCUUAGUUGAUUUUCAUAUGAGUUAAAUUAAAGAUCAAGAGCAAUUUCUACUCAUUUAUCCGAAGUGAAUCCCCGACGCUCUAGUGUUCGUCUCAAUCGUAUUUUCACCAGCCAUUCACUACUCAUAGACUAGUUCAUUUCCUUCCAAUUCCCUGUGGUUCGACCUCGGACUUCCGAGAUUUACUACUUGCGACAACCUGCACUUGGGUUUGCGACCUUAAAGUUGUAGCAAGUUUUUGGCGCCGUUGCCAGGGUUUUGCGUCGAGGAUUAUUUUCUGCUACUUUCUGUGAGGUUUUCUUCUCUUUCAUAAUCUUCAUAAAUCAGGUACACUCGUUCCUUUUUCAAUCUUAUUACUUUAGUUAUUUUACUUUAAAGGAAGGCUGAGCCUCCUUAGUUUUUUUUCUUUCUUUAAAGGGAAGGCCGAGCCUCCCGACCUGUCGUAUUUUUAUUAUAUGGUUGGCUGUGCCACCUAAUUUUUGUUCUUAUUAUAUGGUUGGUCGUGCCACCUAAUUUUCGUUCAUUACAUCUACUUUUUGUUAUUUUAUGUCAUAUUGGUAUCGUGAAUUAAAUUCUCAUCGUUUAGUUAAAGAUAAUUGUGAAACUUAUUUUAGUAAUUUAUUUAACUCACCUCAACACUCACUCACAUCUUCCACCAUGGCUGAUAAUGAAAGCGUACAUGAUGAAAAUGAAAACCAACAAGCACGAACCAUGCGUGAUUACUUGCAACCUCCUUGAAACUCUGCUCCUUCAUGCUUCAUUUUCCCUCUUAAUGCUAAUAAUUUUCGAUUCAAGACGGGUAUGAUUCCAUUACUUCCUAAUUUUCAUGGCUUAGAAUCCGAAAGUCCAUAUUUGCAUCUUGAAGAAUUUGAGGAAGUAUGUGCCACAUUUAACGAUCAAACUUGUCCCAAUGAAAUUAUUAAGUUGAAAUUGUUUCCUUUUUCUCUAAAAGAUAAAGCAAAAACUUGGCUUAACUCUUUAAAACCUAGGUCGAUUGGCACAUGGCAAGAAAUGCAAAGUGAGUUUUUGAAGAAAUUUUUUCCAGCACAUAAAACUAAUGCUUUGAAAAGACAAAUCCAAAUUUUUUCUCAAAAAACCAAUGAAGCGUACUUUCAAUGUUUAGA
rnacentral:lncRNA from 1 species